rnacentral:rRNA from 1 species
UGGGGAAUAUUGCACAAUGGGCGCAAGCCUGAUGCAGCCAUGCCGCGUGUAUGAAGAAGGCCUUCGGGUUGUAAAGUACUUUCAGCGGGGAGGAAGGGAGUAAAGUUAAUACCUUUGCUCAUUGACGUUACCCGCAGAAGAAGCACGGGCUAACUCCGUGCAAGCACCCGCGGUAAUACGGAGGGUGCAAGCGUUAAUCGGAAUUACUGGGCGUAAGGCGCACGCAGGCGGUUUGUUAAGUCAGAUGUGAAAUCCCCGGGCUCAACCUGGGAACUGCAUCUGAUACUGGCAAGCUUGAGUCUCGUAGAGGGGGGUAGAAUUCCAGGUGUAGCGGUGAAAUGCGUAGAGAUCUGGAGGAAUACCGGUGGCGAAGGCGGCCCCCUGGACGAAGACUGACGCUCAGGUGCGAAAGCGUGGGGAGCAAACAGG